AAUUCCCAGCUCAGUAAUUAAUUACCAGCUGCACCCAUCAAGGGGAGAACACUGCAGGAGGCAGCUCAGGGUGCUCAGGGGCUGCUCUGCUCCAGGCUUGGCCCCAGCAGGGUUGGGCUCUCCUUGCAGCUCCUCCCCACAGUCCCUGCUGGGUUUUGCUGGCCCUGAGGCUCAGGGUUAUGGGAUCAGCUCAGAACCUUCACCCCAAACCAAAAUUCAAAAUUCAGCCCCUCCAAUCCCAGAUCCCUGCAUUUAUGGGGUGCCUGCCCUGGCUUUUCUGCAGUGCUGUAGUGGGAUCCUAUGGUAAAAAAUGAGAAUGUUUGUAGAAAAUUGUAUUUAUAGAAAAAAAAAAUCAGAGAAUUCUGUGGUUCCACGUUAAAAACCUGAGAUUUUGUACAGUGUUCAAGGUUGACAAUAAACAUCCUCCUUAACUGGAAGUACCUCAUACAUUUACAACCUCAAAUCACAUAAAAAAUCAGAAUGAGAAAUUUGGUGUGUGGAGCUUGGUCCCCUUUCUGUUAAAUUCUGUAGAAAUGGAUAAAGUGUCCUGGUUUUGAGAAGGUUUGGUUUGGGUGUUUUUAAACUAAAAUGAAUCCAUCCUAAUAUAAAUCCAUACAAUAAAUGUUGAGGUGUUCCUGCUUUUCCAAGGUUUCUUCUCUGGGGUAAAUGGAUAUUUUGCUGCCCAAAGUGUAGUAACUAUUUUCACAUAAAAACCACAAGAAAAGUUUCAGGGGAGGAAUGUCUGGAAAUAAUUCCUUUUAAACCAAAACUCCAGGCAGUGAUGCUGAAAAAGAAAAGGAGUGUCAGAAGAACCUUGCAGGGCAUUUCACUGAUGAAACAAAUCCUGCCUUUAUUAUUCCUGAUCUUCUGCUCUCUACCAAAACUCAAAAUUAAUUUGUUGCUGUGAACAUUAUUUUAAAAAGGGGAGGGAGAGAGAGAAAUGUGGUUUCUUUUGAGCAUCCUGAGUUUUUCUCAGCAUCAAUCACUGCAGACAGUUUGAUCUGCCCCUAGCUCAGGUACAUUUCCAAGGAUUUGCUCUCCUGUGGAUGCUCUGAGCCAAACCCAGUAGAUUUUUCCUACUUCAUCUGUCUUGGAGAUAAUUUUGCAUUGAAUUACUUCGAGUGCAUUCACAGGAGCUCUGCUGGACUCGGGUUUUAUUGGAGGGUUGAUGUCAGAGGUAAAAAAUGUUCCUGGGAGACAGUGAGAUUUUUGGAAUGUCCUGGUACCCUUGACUUUUCUCAAGCUGUCUCCAGCAUUACCUCAUCAAUUUCUGUUCGAGGGGAGCCUCAAACAUGUUAAACAAUACCUUGCUCUAAAAGCCCCAUUAUUGAAUUAAAGCAGAGCUCUGUUUAAUGGGCAGUAAGUUCAUUUUAAUCCAAUUCUAUCCACCACAAUGACUUUUAGACUUUCUUUGUCAGGGCUGUUGCUCUUAAACAAUAGGAAAUAUCUGAGCCCAAUACCUGCAAAUAAUGAACAUACUGAUAGCCAGGAGAAAUGGAACCUAGACAGAAGAUUAAGUUGUGAGAUAAAGUCUGAGAAAAUCUGAUUUUAUAAGCCAGGGAGAAUUUCUUGACAAUUUUGGGAUUUUUAGUCAAAAAAGCAAAACUGAUUCAUGUGCAGACCUUGUUUUUAUUGUCACUGGGUGCUGCUGGGUCCCUCACUGAGCCUGCCUUAACCAGGCAUUUAAUAUCAUUUAAUUUGAUUUUACAGUUUUGUCUAGGGCUCCAUUACAAACAGAUCCUAAAAUACUUUUUCUAUUCAUUAAAUAAAAAAGGAAGUGGAAAAGAAAAUGUGGCAGGAAAUUAAGAAGCUGUUUACAGAAAAUUUAAAAUUUUUGUAGAAUUUUUUGGCAACAAUCCUUGUUGGGAAUGAGGGAGAUGAGUGGGUUUGAGAAGUGGGGUUGGUGUGAGGUGGAAAUCCAAGCUGAGGAGGAUUUCCAGAGGUGCUGGAGCUCCCUGGGGCUGGGAAUUCCAGCCUGUCCCAGCAGCUCCUGUGUUUUGGUGGUUUUUGGUGCCUCAGAGGUGGGAGAGGAUCCUGCCCUCCCCAGGGACCUCCCUGGCUUUGGUGGGGGAAGAUGCUCUGGAGGAGUUCUGUGUUCUGUCACUUCAGCAAGGGUUCAUUGCUGAUUUUAUUCAACUCUUAUUCAAUUCCCUUGUCUGCUGUGGGGUUUUUGGCUCCUCCAUCUUUCUGUUCCUGUUUUUUACCUCCAGCUGUUGGUGAAGUCCCACUGUGCAGAGUGCUCCAGAGCAGGGUGAUGCUCUCUGGGAAGGGGCAGCUUUAAAUGUGGGUUAAGAAUUCCCAGAAAAUGACUGCAGAAGUAGUUCUGGAAGCACACAGCAUCCACUGAACUGUGGCCAUCCAUUCUGGUGGGAAAUGGUCAGGAAGAAAAAAGAAAUCUUCAUUUUUUUAGGGAGCAAUCCCACCCUGCCCACACAGAUUCCCUCUGGCUGUGGUUAAUGAUGAACUCCUGGAGUGUCUGGGAUUUUUCCUGCAAGAGAUGCUCAGGCCCAGGGCUGGAUCCUACAGCAAAAGCAGUGAAUUCCUACCUAAGUGACAAUCCCAGAAUGGUUUGGGUUGGGAAGGAUCAAAAGCUCAUCCAGUCCCAUCCCUCACCUUCCACUGCUCCAGCCUGGGACACUUCAGGGAUGGGGCAGCCACAGCCUCUCUGAUGCCUUGUUAGUUCUAAAAACUCAAAAACAGAUUUGGAGUUAAAACAGGACCCAGUGAGGUUUUGCUACUUUGACUUUUAAGUCCCUUCUCAUGGGUGUUACCUCUGAGAAUCCAACAAACUCUGGGAAACCCACCCAAAAGUAUCAGUGCUCCUCAAGUGUCCCAUACCCAGUGGCUUUUGUGGAGGAGCUUUCUCCCCUUCCCAGCUCUGCAGGGCCCUGUGAGUGAUUGCACAGUGAAAGAAAAGCAGUUCUUUGGUCCCAGGUACUGGAAGCUUUGCCUGGACAAACCAGUUUGCUGCUAUUUCUUGUGCCAUAAUUCUUUGCUUACAGCUUAAUCUCAGUUGAUGCUGGUAAAGGGAGCGUGGUGUUCCUUCCACCAAAAAAGCACAAAUGAGAUCAUGGUGACUGAGGUAACUGGAAAGUUUGCUUAAAGAUUGUUGGGGUUUUUUUAGUCAAAAAUAAUUUACAGUACAGGUUGAGGUUAUUUCUUUAGAACACAAGGCAAGAAGUGAUAAAGGGACAACCAGAAAUCUUGUCCUGGGGUGGGAAGAGCUGGGCAGUGGCCUCACAACCUCCUGGGAGCAAUUUUGGAAGGUUAAACCAAUCCCCUUGACAUUGUUGGUUGAAAACUCAACAGCCUCCCUGCCACAGGUACAUCAGAAACCUGGGGGAUGUGUCCUGAGCACAGCAGAGCAGCUCCACACAAAAAUGGCUUUAUUGCCCUGAAAGGGACACAGAUGUGGCUGAAAUUUGAGGAGCUUUGGUGUUGAAAGGCUGCCAGUGGAUCACAACAGAAUUAAAAGAGUUUAUUUGCAAAAGGCUUGAAGGAUUUAACUGAAUAAGCAAGGGUUUUUUCCCUAAAUUGAGUUUUAAAAAAAGAAUCUUUAAAAAGCAAGCAGAAGUUUGGUUCCAAAGAGCAGCAGUGAGCAGAGCUGAGGACGGGCAGGUCAGAGAUGUUGCAAUUCCUAAUUUUGAAAGCACUGAUGGAACGUAACAGAAUGUCCCAAGGAAGAAAGCCCUGGAGCCUCCUGGGCUGCCCUGGCCACUGGAGCGUGGCUCAGGUGAACCACAGCAAACCUGAGCCCAUUUCAGCCUUGGAACCUCCACCAGGAUCUUUCCUUCCCCCAUCUCAGAAAGCAAAUGAAUCUUUUAACCCCAAAUCCUCCCUGUUAAACCUGACCAGAAACCAGAUUUAUUUUCUGCACCUUCAGAGCUCUGGGCACAGGGAACAGCUCAGCCCCAGAGCUGAGCUGAGGCUGGGGUGGUGCUGGGGGCUCUGCUUGCUCCUCAGGUUUGGCUGGACAGGGAGCUGGGUCCAGCUUUGGGGAGCCCCAGGAGUCGGGUUUUGGGCAGCCACAGCUCUCAGGAUUCAGGUUUUGAGCAGUCUCAACUCUCAGGAUUCAGGUUUUGAGCAGCCCCAAGUUUCCCUAAACCUAACCCAGGUUUUGGGCAGCCUCAGGUUUCCCUAAACCUAAUCCAAGUUUUGGGCAGCCCUGGGUUUCCUUAAAACUAAACCAGGUUUUGGGCAGACUCAGCUCCCAGGAUUCAGGUUUUGAGCAGCCCCAGCCCCAGGUUUCCCUAAGCCUAACCCAGGUUUUGGGCCACCCCAGCCCCAGGUUUCCCUAAGCCUAACCCAGGUUUUGGGCAGCCCCAGCCCCAGGUUUCCCUAAGCCUGACCCAGGUUUUGGGCAGGCCCAGCUCGCAGGGCUGAGUCAGGCUCAGGCUGAGCCCCUGUGAGUCACUGCAGGGUCCUGCUGGUGGUGGAGCCUCGGGGAAGUGGAUGGUUUAAAUACUGUGAGAAUCUUUAUCAGCACAGGAAAUGACAGCUCAUUAAAAUACUAACCGUUGAGCCAGUUUAGAUCACUGUCUGGAAAAAAAUUAACCAUUGAAGGCUCAGAGGGCUGACAGGAGAGAGAAAGGUGCCCUGUUGAGACAAGGGACACGUUAUGCAAAUGAAUCAGCUUUGCUAAUUGGCCAGUGGCAUAAAAAUAUUUCCACUGGAAUCUGUUUUGCAAUGAUUUUAAAACUAUUUGACUUCCAAAGAAGUUGAUAGCACCGUGCUGGAGUGAAAUUUUUGAGGGAGAGGUGGCUAAAACACCCUCAAUACUAAAAUCCCCAAAUCCAGUGCCUGUUCCUAAAUGUUUUAUUGCUUUGGAGCUGCAGGAUGGAUUUUUCUUGUGUUCCCACAGGGGAGUGGAGGAGUGGGAAUCUCAUACAGUCGGUGUUGGUGGGAUUGUUCAGUGAUGUUUUCCAUCAGUGCUGGGAAGGUGAAAGCCUUUCCUUCCCCUCUGGCCUGGCUGUCAAUAAUCCAUAAUAAAGUGAAAUAUGUAAAGAGCUGAAGGUCCGGGCAGGGAGGAGCCCAUCCCAGCACGUUCCCUUUCUUUGUGGGAUCCCUCAGUGCCUCUUCCCUCCCUUUUCUGCAGCAGCAGCAGAUAAUCCCUGGCCUUGGGCACUGCCAACCCCAGGGCUUUGCUGCUCCUGUGGCAGCUCUGCCCUGUGCUCCUCAUUUGGAACUCUGCUGCCAUGUCCCAAAGGAUGAUUUUCUCUGGCUCUUUCAGCCCAAAAAGCUGAAUCUGGGCAAAACCUGCUGGUGUUUGCCCCAGUGUGAGGAGUCAGAGGGAUUUUCCAAGCUGAGGGCUGUGAAUAUUGGAGGGAUUAUCCAUAAAGUGGAGCCUGACUCAAUAUUGCAUCACCUUCCCCAGGUGUGUCCAGCCUUGUUUGCACCUUCUGCUCCCCCACGGGGCUCUGGUUUCCCUCCAGGUUAGAAUUUCUGUGAUUAAAUGAAAUUAAAUUAAAUAUUAACUCCCAUGUUUGUGACCCUCCCCAGUGCUCCCAGUUUCCUGACAUCCCACUGGGAUGGAUCCCAGUUGCUCUCAGGGCUGGCUGCUCUGAGGUUUUCAUUUCCAUUUUUAAUUCCAUCAGGAUCAGUUUGAGAACAGCUCAGGGUUAUUAAUCAGAAACUUCCAUAAACUUUCAAAUUUUCUCUCCUGAAAAAUCCCAUGGUUUUGUUCCCAAAAUUUGAGUCUACAGUGGCAGCUUCUUGUUUAAAAUUUUUUUUAAACACCUGCGAAUUCUGACAUUUCUCCCUGGAAAAGUGAACAAAUAUCCACUUAUCCCAUUUUAGUUGAUAAAAUGGGAAUUUAAUAUCCUUAUUUAUGGUGUCACAGAUUUGUUGUGAGAUAUUGGUGCAAUGACACUGACACAGCAUUUGAUAGAGGCUGUACUUGAGGAUUUAGCAGAGCUGGAAUUAAUUCCCUGAGUGUUCCCAACCUCUCAAAGCACAGGCUGAGAGAUCUCAGUCACUCAGGAGCAGCCCAUGCUCCUAAAGACCUUGUAGGAUGAAAAUUAUACCCUUCAGAAAUGCAAAUAUCAUUAUUAAACCGUUGUAAAUAAGGGUUUACUAAUAUUUUUAAUAUUAGUAAAAAUGCAGAUGACUGGAAUAUCAAACAACUUCCUACUUUUUGUAAGCUGGCUCAGGGAAAAUACAAUUUUUUCUCCUCUGGUGUUGGUGCUUCAUCCUGGUGCCCUGCAGAGAAAUCUUUCUGUAGUUCCAAAGGUUCUGUGAAAAAGAUUUAAAGUUACCCAAAAAUCAUUUAACAACCAGUGAAAGGCAUUUGAGGUGCAACUGCUGACAGUUGUUCUUGGAGAAGCAAAUUAAUUAAAUUUUAACUCAGAUUUGCUGUAACUGGACUGGGAGUUUUUGGAGUCAGACUCUGCAGGUUCUUGGUGUAAUUUUUAAAAUAAUCCUCGAGCAACUUUGCUGAAUUUCUGUCAUUUGCUGCUUCAAACAGAUAGGGAGUUUUGUUUUAUUUAGUGGAAAAAGAGCUUUAGAAUUUGUCUUUUGGCUAGAAAUUGUAGCACUGAGUUUAAAAAAAUGAAAAAGUGCAUUUGUUUAAUUACAAAUACCAGGUAAUUGUUCUGAAAACAGGCACCAAGAGUGCUUCUUCACUGAAUCUUAAUUUUUAUGGGUGUGUCUGUUGUAGUAUUAGAACAGAAAUAAUGGUUUUGACUAAAAUGUUACAAUUUUAGUGAAUUAAGGUUUAGCAAAGGCUGCUCCAAUUUUGAGGAGCCUGUUCUCAGUUUCAACUCCCUGUGAAACAUUAAAAUUUAGCAAAGAUUCAGGAUUAAUCCAAACGAAAAUUUAAUAUUUAAUUUAAGUUGUUGUAAAACAACUUCUGGAUGAAAGCAACUUCUGAAUCGGAAUUUCUCCUUCCACAUUCUGGGUUUGAAAGCCGAUGGCUUUGAUUACCGAAGGAGCACCGGGAAUUGGGCUUGGAUUAUUCCGAGUUUAUCUUCCAGCAUCUUCCUGCAGCAGUGCCGGGAAAUUUGCGGGUUUUUGGAGGUGCUGAGUGCAGGAAUUGUGAUGCAAAUGUGGCCCUGCCCGGUCCCACCCGGAUCCCACCAAAUUCAUCCCCAAUUCCCCCUCCCCUCCUCGGGUCACACCCAGGGGUCUCUGGGCUGGGUUUGUGAGCUUUGCAGGGACACAACUCACCUAAAUCCAAUUCAAUUAUUUUAAAGAUUUUUGUAAGAUUAUGCCUUUAGAUAUCAGGUGGCACCUAAGUGGGUGAUGAAAUGGUUUGAUUUUUAAUUAAAUUAUUUUUUUUCCAAAAAAGCAUCAGUAACCAACUCUGUGCUGCCGAGAUGGGAUUUCAAGAAUUUCAUUAUUUUCUAGGUUUUUCUCUCCUUUUUUCACUCCUUAUUUAAAUCUGUGCACAUUUUUUUUUCAUAAUUAAAAAUCUUUACAAAUGUACCAAAUAUAGGAGCUGAGGUCCUUGCAUUUAGGAUCUUACAGUUCUUCAAAAUUGCUUUGAUAAAAUUAAUUUUGUGCACUUAACAAAUAGUCGUGCCCAGAAAAAGGAAAUAAAAAGUGAAUUAUUUAGUGAGAGAAUUUUUGAAAUAUUGUUUUGAUGCACCAGGAGCUCCUCAGGGCUCUGCUCUUGGGUUUCAUGUCCUUGUUCUGUGUUUAAUUCGAUUUGGAGACUGACCCAGUUCAGUUUUCGGUGAGGAACGGAGUCAUUCGAACACCGCCCUGUUAAUCAUUGAUCCCUCACCAUUUAAAUAUUCCUCAUUUCAUACUCAUGCAGGAGUUCAAAAGUGUAAACCAUUACCUUGCAGUCGCUGCUCAGGCCUCCCAAGAAUUGGGUGAGAAAGAAAAGAACCCUCAAAAUGUGGCCGAUGUUCCAGGCGUGACUCGUCCACGGCCCCGGGAGAGCUUGUCCCAGGAACGGGCAGUGCUGAGGCACCUCUGGAUCAUUGGAAUCCUCUGGAACAUUGACACAUCUUGUAUAAAAUAAGGGAUAAGGGACGUGCUUUGGGCACCACAGGGUUGGUUUUGGUUGUUUUUUUUUUUUUUUUCCCAGAAUUUUUACCAGUCCGGGCACAGAAUUUCCUCACCCCGCGGUGAAUCAUGAGGGAAGCGACCUUUUGCUGGGAAAUGGGUUCAAAAAACCUCCUUUGCCCCCGGCCAUGAAGGAAAUAAAUAGAUUUACUGGAGGAGAAUGAGACA